rnacentral:rRNA from 1 species
UACGAAGGGGGCUAGCGUUGUUCGGAAUUACUGGGCGUAAAGCGCACGCAGGCGGACUGAUCAGUCAGGGGUGAAAUCCCGGGGCUUAACCCCGGAACUGCCUUUGAUACUGUCAGUCUCGAGUCCGGGAGAGGUGAGUGGAAUUCCUAGUGUAGAGGUGAAAUUCGUAGAUAUUAGGAAGAACACCAGUGGCGAAGGCGGCUCACUGGCCCGGUACUGACGCUCAGGUGCGAAAGCGUGGGGAGCAAACAGG